AAGCUGCGCGAGCAGGAGGAGAGGACGCGCGUCAGCAGCACCAUCAUCAUCAUCAUAAUCGAUAUAAUCGAUGGUGGUUUGGAGAGUUUGCCACCUGUUGUAACUGAUUAAGGCGGCACGGGUCCGGAAAGGUUAGAGCGCGUUAUUUUAAGACAGAAAGGAGAAAAAAAAUCCAUUAUUUUGUGAGCCUAGGGAGCAAAGAAGACGUUGUGGAUUACAGACAUGCUGCAUGUUGCAAUGCAUCGGUACAUUUCAUGCGUUCCAUGUGCAACGCGCGAGGAUACUGAUGGUGAUUCCAUUAUGCACGGAGGGCAUCAAGAGAUGUGGUACUGCAGUCCUAGCAUCAGGAUCAUCACUUGGGCCCAAAGCCUCUUUCAGAGGGUUGGUUUCUGUCUUUGGUUAUCUAGCUGUAUGAGUUAUAACACUUUUCAUAAAGCUAGAUAACCGAAAGUAGAAAUAAUUCUCAAAAAACUGCAAACAGGGGUGACACCAGAGAGUACCUCAGAGCGAUACUUCCAUCCACAAAAUGGCACAAUAAAGCAACAGCACAACCAUCCGAGAGAGAGGAAGACUGCGAAAGAGCCGGAGAUGCUUAGAGGAACGUGGCAUCUUUCCUUCUCCGCCUUCCCAGAAACCGCCCAGUGCCACCUGGGUCCCCGUGGGGCUGGGGAGAACCCAUGCCAGUGCCAGCGGCAUGGCAAACCUCGUCAGCGUCCUGGCACCAACACGGACUGCUGAGGGAGGCCAUCUUGACAGAGAUCUUUCAGGAGAAGCUAAGAUGGCUGGGCUGACACAUGUGAGCAUGAAUCACCCCCUCACGCUCAAGGUCCUGGCAAAAACGGCAGGCAUUCCCCUGGCGAUCUGGCUUGAGGUUUUAUGAAACGCUGAGAGAGGGCGAGGCUGGUACGAGGGCCGCCGUGGGGCCAGGCCGGCAGCUGCAGCGCGCGUGCUUUUAAUGAACAGAACGUGGUGUCGGCCAUUAAUAUUCUGCCCAGCUCGCGGCCGGUCCCUCUCACUCAAUGGAGGCCCCCUCCUUUAUAAAGAGCUCCGCUUUCCCACCAUUGUCAGGGGCGCUGCUCCUGCAUCACCACCAGAGAGGGGGCAGGGUGGGAAACGGCGAUGCAGACCAGACACCACCAGAUGCCAAAGACACAAGACGGUUAUGCAGAUCGCAGGGCCUUUGUCAGGCAGAGUGUGUGUUUGUGUGUACAGGGGUGUGUGUAUGUUUACAGACGGAGGCUACAGGCCACCUGAUCGUCUUAAUGAGUCUGCGUGUAGUUAAUACGUGUCUGAGCGAGAUGCAGAUGUAAACGUGAAACGUGUCUCAGAAUGCACACGCUUUGUGAAAGGUUAUUUUCUGUUCAGGUCGUCUUGAAAGCGCCACGAUGUAUGUUUACGUAUUCAUCUCAUUUUAAAAAUAAGAAAAUAUAUACAGAAUACGGUUAAUGGGCAAAUAUGCUGUAAAUGGUGUGACAGCAAAAAUGUAGAAAAAAAUGAAGAUAAAUCUCUAUUAUUCUAUAUAUAUACCUAACUAUUUUGCACUGCAAUCUGAAAAGAUUUUCUACGAUUUUUCUUCAAAACCUGUCACAAAAUCAUCCAAUGCUUUGAAUAGAAAUGUUAAGUUCUGCAUCUACAGUACAGAACUACAGUUUUCUGAUGCAUUUAAUAGAUCGCUAACAUACACGGCUAUAAAGGUUAGCAAAUUACCUCACCACCACAGCGAUGAAGGUCAUAUGACGUCAGAUUAGAUUCAAGUAGACACGUGAUGUGGAACCGUGUUUAGUUUUACGUUCAUCAGACAGUUCUGAGCUUCUGUCAAAUACAGGUGGUAAAGAUUUUUUCUGUGCUUUUGGGUUUCUGUGUCUGAAAAUUGGGCGUCUGUGGAGAAGGCCAUCAAAAGAAUCGAGAAUUGAGGAGAGGGCAAUUAUGCCCUGUAGCUCAUUCUGGUUGGAUUUAGACUUCAUUUGCUUUAAUAUCCUUUAAAUAAGUUAAUUUGACCUAAUUAAAACACAGUAGGAUCAUAUUAUUAGGAAGGAAUUAAAGCAGGAUACGUUUCAGAAAUGUUACUGUCUAUCAGAGUUCAAAACUCGAGAUUACAGUAAGUCGCAAAACAGCUCCUGACUCGACUUGGUCUCAUAAACAAUUGUUUUUGAGACGUCUUGGACUUCCAUAUAUUGCAACGGUUUAACUAAUUCAAGAAAAGCGACACAAGAGAUGUAUGAAAAAAUCAUUGCUUCAACACGAUGGCAUCACCUUAGCACUUAGACAAUUCAUUGUGCACGUCAAAUAGUUCAAUUCAUACAUUUCAUACGUUCAUUUAAGAACAAAAUGAACAGAAUGUUAGAGUUCGGCAGAGUUCAUUGCAUUUAGUUUAAAAUCAGAUUUCAAGACUCAAAAGGAUAAAUUAAUAUUCCAGUUCUGUAAUCUAAUAAUUGAAGGUCUAUCUAUAGCAUCUGUUGAUGUUGUCAGUUACCAAAAGAAAAAAAUGGUCUUGUGCCUCAGUCUGUGAAAACAAACAAUGCGCUGAUGUGCAAUUAUGUCUUUAUAGAAGUCUACGGCGAGCAAGUGCAUUUCCAUACACAUUUUGUUUGUUUUUGCAAACUUAUUUACAAGUCAAAAUUAUAUUCAGUGGUGAAAGACAGCAUGCUGUCAAUAGAGCGUUAUCUGUUAACAGAAUCCAGGAAGAUUAAAUCAAGAUCAUGGCUGCUGUGUAUUUAGGUCAAGAGCCAGGAGCAAAAGUCUGUCGUCUUUACAUAUUUGUGAUUGUGUCCAGUUAAUCUGGGAUAAAGCUUUGCUCGACAUGAACUAAACUAAACUAAACUAAAUAAACUAAACUAAACCUUGAUGUUUAAGUGUUAAAGAAAAAAAGUAAUCGUGUAAAUUAAUUGUUCUUUUUUUAGGUGUUGAGAGUUUUAUCUGCACGUGAUGCGGUGUAACUUUUUUAAAAAAGGUUGUGAGAAAAUAAGUAUCUGUUAAAUCUGGCAUUUAACUUUGUCAAAUAUAUAACCGAUCCUUCAUGUGCCAUUCGGAGUCUUUAAUAACAUCCAAUGUAGGUCAAACUUAAUCUUGGUCUCCUAAUGGAACUUUAGCCAAGAAGUAAUCUACGACAAAGCCACGCUUUUAAAGACAUCUUAAGUCACAACGGAUAUUUCUCAAUCCGCACACGUCCUGGCAGGGUCCUGAAACUGACCAUCUACAGUCACAGAAACAAAAGCAGAGACAAAACAAGUACAACAAGCUGUUGAUCUUCUUACAACAACACGGCGUCUGACCUGAUUCUGUAUGGGUGUUUGGUGGGGGGAUAAUUCAGUUGUCCAGAGUCUUUAGGGACAGAGUCGAGCAAAGGCUCACGAUCUUUAGAAGUAUGUGGGUUUGUUUAUGAUAAAAUAAGCGUCAAUUAGUCGAGUGUUGAAAAGGAUGUUUAUAGUUUAUUUAUUAGGCUGCUCAUUAGCUGAUGCAAAGCAUCUGCAACCCUUUAGAAUUCUGAGUUUAAUUGAGCCUCUGUGGUGGAAAACAAGCCGAACCUGAUGAAGUUGUGGAUGAUGUAGGGAAAGAAAAGCAUGUUUGGGAGGCAGAAUGUGCUGCUGUGGCACAAGGGGGCACAUGUGAAAUAAAAACCCAUGGGCUGUGGAUAAAUCUUUGGAUAAAAGUGUCAGCCAAAUGCACGAAGGUCCUUAUGUGCAUCACUGUGUGAGAAAGUCAAGUUCAAGUUCACAGAUGUCUAGACACGGUCCGUUCCAUACCUCCUCUAUUCCCCUCUUUCUUCGCAUUCGGCGAGGGGGGCUAUUGCCCUUUGACCUGGGAGCAAGUUGCUAUGGAACGGAGGCGAGAGGGCUCAGAAAUGUGCCUGUGAAAGACGGUGCUGUCAGGACUGUCUGAUGAUGUGCCCCCUCCCCGCCUCCGACCGCAGCUGGGCACGGUCCCGGAGCCUGGGAAUCUUCCAGCUCCGGAUUCAUCAGACAUCUCCGCGCCAGCUCAGACCUACUCCACCCCCCACCGAGACGUGCCCCCACCCCAUCACUCUAGUCUAGCCGUACCCGCACCCCACCAUCUGCGGUCUCACCGCAAGCCCAAGUUCAAAUCUAGAAUGCCUGAAUGCACCUGGCCAUCAUAAGCAUGAUGUACGUUAUCGGCUUUGCUUGUAAUUGUGACCUAAUGCAAGUGUGUGGUGUAUCACGAGCGUGGUUACAGUCGAGUUAUUGCACUGGAGGUAUAAAUGAGAAUGUCCAUAUGGAUCUCUGCCAAGUGCAACCGACGUUGGUUGGCAGUCUUGUAAUUGGUUGCCUGCGCUUUGGCACCGAAGGUGUUUGUUGGAGACGGAAACAGAAUUACCGUGUGUAAGAAUGUGUGUGUGAGAAAUCGAGGGUGCGUAUGCGUGCGAUUGGCGGGCGGGAGGAGGCUACAAUAAAAGGCUUCAUUUACAUAAGCUGCAUGGAGCCCGAAGAGGGUGUUCAGAGGAAAACAACAAAAAGAUAAAGCACAAAUCCUACGUUGUGCAGACAGAAAGAGAAAGAGCGGGUUUGCGUAGGGGAGAGGGUGGAAAUUGCCGGAGAAAGACAUGAAGCUGUGGCGCUGAAUAGAGGCAGGAACCUCCACGCAUAAUAUUUAAAACUGUGACAGAGCUGUAACACUGUUUACAAAGGCCCAUUGAAGAAGAGAGAAAGAGAUUGAUUACGGAUCAUUUAUUUCGCUUUUGAUGAGUGCGAAACUCAUGGAAAUAUUAAAAUGAUAUCAUCAUCGCUCUGCGGCCUCUGUAACUCUCUGUGUGAAGCUGUAAUGAAUUGUGUCAUGAGAGGAAGACAAUGACAGUGUUUUACUUUGAUAAUUUGCCUAAUUUACUCAUAAUGUCCACACAGUUUAAAAAAAGUCACCCACUCUUUGGGAAAGCAGCUGUUGCAGAUGAACCUCGUGCUAAAGUGCUGAUGUGUUUGUCUUUUACAGAAUGGAAAGUGGACUGCACUGGGAUAUCCUCGUGGGAUGAAAUGAAUGAAAAUCAACUGUAAUUAGGCCUGGAGGAACAAAGGAAAAAGCCCAUGCACCUGAAAGUUUGAGAGGCAUAUAAAACCAUGUUGGUGAUGGUGUGUGUAUGUGAGUGUGUGUGUGAGAGAGAGAGAGAGAGAGAGAGAGAGAGAGAGAGAGAGAGAGAGAGAGAGAGAGAGAGAGAGAGAGAGAGAGAGAGGAGAACAGUAUUUUUUCUUGAAAACAAAAAAUUGAAUUGUAUUGUUUUUCUGUUUAGAUGAACCAUGUUGUUUUAAUAUUCAAACUGCUGUACACUUAGGCCUACAUAUAGAAUGUAAUGUAAUGUGUGUUAACUGAUUUUACUAGUGUUUUGUUACCAUUUCAUUUGUGCAUUAUUUUAUAUCCAAAUGCCAUGUUUAUUUUAGUUAUUCUUUCCUCCCCUUUGUGAUCGUUUUUAUAUUGUACAUGCUGUGCUUGUAAAUAAAAAUAUAUAUUAUA